rnacentral:rRNA from 1 species
CACGUAGGGCGCAAGCGUUGUCCGGAAUUAUUGGGCGUAAAGAGCUCGUAGGCGGUCUGCCACGUCCGCUGUGAAAACCUAGGGCUUAACCCUGGGCUUGCAGUAGAUACGGGCAGACUAGAGGUAGGUAGGGGAGAAUGGAAUUCCCGGUGUAGCGGUGAAAUGCGCAGAUAUCGGGAGGAACACCGGUGGCGAAGGCGGCGCUCUGGACACUAACUGGACGCUGAGACGCGAAAGCGUGGGGAGCAAACAGGG